rnacentral:lncRNA from 1 species
AAUAGCAUGUGGUUAAACAAUUUUGGAUUCCAGAUUUCAAAGCCUUCUCUUAUCCAAAGUGUUUCAAUGUUCCAAGGAGCCUCAAGGGCUCCAGGCAAUGCUUAAACUCUGGAUAAUUAUAAGAACAAAAUAGUGCAGUAUGGAAUAGGCAGCCUUCAGGCAUCCAAGUUCAAAGGGAGCUCCAGGGUCCCAAAGCGUGGCAUACCAAAGGGGGCAGAACGUUGAACUAGGAAUAAGUGCAAAGUGAGAGAGGGAUUAGGGAACCAUAGAAAAUAGUGGUCAUGCCCAGACAUGGGUAUAGACUGGCACACACCUGACAAUUUGCUUGGUCCAAACAAAUUAAGAGCAGACCUUAGAGGUCAGACCUGAGUUUGGAUGAUGAUUAGGACACCACUAGACUUGAGUCAAGGCUCAGCACAUAAAGCGGAAAGAGGAGUAGGAAUUGGUUUGAGUAAGGGUUCAAAAGAACCUAGUUCAAAGUCAUGGGUAACAAUAAUAGGAUACUGCCAUAACUGGAACUGUACUCUUCAUACAAAAGGGGUAAAGGGACAGGGAUAGACUGGCGCACCCCUGACCAUUUUCUUGGUCCAAACAAAUUAAGAGAAUACCUUAAAGGUCAGACCCGAGUCUGGAUCACGAUUAGGACACUUCCGACUUGAGUCAAGGCUCAGCAUAAAGGGAAAAGGGGAGUGGCAAUUGGUUUGAGUAAGGGUUCAAAAGAACCCAGUUCAAAGUCAUGGAUAGCAAUAAUAAGAUACUUCCAUGACUGGAAAUGUACCCUUCAUACAAAAGGGAUAAAGGGACAGGGAUUCACAUAAGACAAGCAUGUACAGAGAUGCAGAAACAGAAGGAAAGAAAGCAUAACAGACUAGGAGUAAAAUAAACACAUAGUGGAGGGACAUUAUUUAAUUUAGAGUGACAAAACAAUCUGCAAACACUAGAAUAAUAGGACAAUAAGAGCAAGUAAAUAGCCACAAGUCGGCAGGAGCAAACUCAAGUUCUUCAGCAAAUACUUGAGAGUUCAAAAUGAACGCAAGAAUGUU